ensembl:snRNA U2 U2 spliceosomal RNA
AUCUCUUCUCUGCCUAUUAGCUAAAAUCAAAUGCAGUAUCUGGUUUCACCAAUUAAAGCAUCUGAUGUGUUCUCUGUCUGUGUACUGGGCAUUAAAUUACUGCUUGGAAUCAGAUGGGUUGGGAGUUUGCUCUAUCCACUCCCCCCUCAGCCUGGAAUUGCAUUACUUCUAGGAAUGAUGCAUUCCUU